CCCUGCUAGCACUGUGUGGAAAUCAGCUUCGGAGCUCACCAGUGCCAAGCACUUCAGUCAGGCUUUUUGUGCUCGAGGAGCUUGAGGAGCUCAUGGCCUACACAGCUACUUCUGACUUAGCGUGCUAAGGUAAAAGAAGCACAGGCUUGGUGCUGACAGUCAGCAGAAGUGAUGCUCAUGCUGCUUGCCUCAGUUUCCCCUUGGGCACAAGACAAUUUCUCUGUCCUGCAGAGGCCACUGUGAAACUCUUCAGUAUUUGUAAAGCAGCGUGGGGAGGCACAUUCCCACCCGCACCAGGCAGAGGAGCAUUAGAAGGCUCUCAGCCAGCCUAGGAGUCCUGUGCAGCACGAGGAGGCUGGGCUAUAAAAAGACACUCACUUGGAGAGGAGUGGGAGAGCUGUGCCCUUGUGGGAAGGAGGAUUGUGCAGACGGGGGCCCUGCAGUGGUGUGUGGGGUGCAGCAGGAUCCCGAGGUUAACAGGGAGCUGGAGCUCUUCUCAGAAGGCAGUUCCUGCCGCUCUGAGGACAUCCUGCUGCUUGUGAGAGAGCAGGCCGGGCACACCUCUGCACCAUGCAAUGCAGCAUCAUGUGUGAGACCUCUCUACUACCCCUAAAGGAACCGUUUUCCAGACCAGCCAGGGAAGGCACUGCACACAAUAGCUUGGAGGAAUAAUAGAAGGCUCAGAGAAGACGUCAAACUCUGGUAAGAUACUGGGAUGCAGAUGCAUUUGGGAAGGCUACAGCAAUUACAGUGCC
rnacentral:lncRNA from 1 species